rnacentral:rRNA from 1 species
CUUCCUGGGUACCUGCGGAAGGAUCAUUAAUGUAUACUGUCUGUCGAGCUUGCUCACAGACUUAUCAUAUCCAUAACACCUGUGCACUUGUCGGAUGGCUUAUGAAGACCGCAAGGUUGGAUCUAUCCAUCUACUUUACAUAACAAUCUAGUAACAAAUGUAGUCUUAUUAUAACAUAAUAAAACUUUCAACAACGGAUCUCUUGGCUCUCGCAUCGAUGAAGAACGCAGCGAAAUGCGAUAAGUAAUGUGAAUUGCAGAAUUCAGUGAAUCAUCGAAUCUUUGAACGCACCUUGCGCUCCCUGGUAUUCCGGGGAGCAUGCCUGUUUGAGUGUCAUGAAAACCCUCAACCUUAGAUUGGUUAACACCUUUCUUUGGCUUGGAUUUGGACGUUUGCCGAUGAUAAGUCGGCUCGUCUUAAAAGUAAUAGCUGGAUCUGUCUCGCGACAUGGUUUGACUUGGCGUAAUAAGUAUUUCGCUAAGGACAUCUUCGGAUGGCCGCGUUGCAAGACUAAAGACCGCUUUCUAAUCCAUUGAUCUUCGGAUUAAUAUUCUUGACAUCUGGCCUCAAAUCAGGUAGGACUACCCGCUGAACUUAAGCAUAUCAAUAAGCCGGAGGAAAGGAUCAUUAAUGAUUAACUGUCUGUCGAGCUUGCUCACAGACUUAUCAUAUCCAUAACACCUGUGCACUUGUCGGAUGGCUUAGUGAAGACCGCAAGGUUGGAUCUAUCAUCUACUUUACAUAACAAUCUAGUAACAAAUGUAGUCUUAUUAUAACAUAAUAAAACUUUCACAAGGAUCUCUUGGCUCUCUAUGAAGAAGCCGAAAUGCGAUAAGUAAUGUGAAUUGCAAAUUUGAAUCAUAAUCUUUGAACCCUUGCUUGGUUUCGGGGGAGCAUGACUGCUUUGAGUGUCAUGAAAAACUCACUUAUAUGGUUAACCUUUUCUUUUGGGCUUGGAUUGGAAAUUGCGAUGAAUAAGAUGCCCUUAAAUAAUAGCUGGAUCUGUCUCACAUGUUUGACUUGCAUAUAAGUAUUUGCUAGGCAUCUGAUGGCGCUCAGAUAGACUUUCAUCAUGAUGCAAUAGUAUCUGAACUGCUAAGAUGAAAUCGGUACUUAAGGUAUAGGGGAA